AGGUAAUCUAGCAUGGAGGGAGGCUCUGCCAUCAAGGUCUCCAGCUUACCGUGAGAUGAGAUGGAUCCAUUACUUUAUCCCACAAGCAUGAGACCAGAAAGAUCUCAUUCCAAGAGAUAAGAAAGAUGGCGGACCCGGAGUAUGGAAGCCAGGUUUUCUUCUUGCAGAGCCUCUUCUCCCUUCCUCUUUUCCACUAUCAGGGCACACUGCUCCAGUGUUCCAGUGUGCAUAGAGCACAGCUCUGCCCAGUUAGUUCUUUGGAGGAAACUGCUCCAUGCUGGUCUCUUCUUGCAAAAGUGAAGUUCUAUUCUGUGAAGUUUGGACACAGCAAACACAGCUUAUCCUCUCGGAAGAAGACUUGAUGAUAAAUCCUAUAUAUGAGUAUCACUUAGAAACAGGCAGAAAUAUUGCUCUUGGCAUAUUUUGUGAUGAUCGUCAAGCAUGCAAUCCAGCUAGAAGAAGAUCAACUCAGAAAAAAAUGAAUGUGCAAAUAUGAAAGGUUCUUUGUUCUUUCUCAAGGCUGCAUUUGUCCUAUUGACUAACACCAUGUACAAGAAAUCACAGCGCAAUGUAAAAAAAAAUGCUGAGUAAGUAGGUCCUUGCAUUCAGUAGGUUGAGUGUAGUAGAUGUGAUGAUCUACUCAAAGGGAGCUGGGGUCAGAGCCAGGGGAAAGACAGCUCCUGCGGCGUUGUGGUCAUCAGAGAGGAUAUUUAAAAAGUUGCCUGUGGUUUGGCUGAAAUGGAGUGAGAACAAACAACCUGUUCCUUAGUGUUUCCUCAACGGCCUAAAGAAGUAGCUGGAUUGGAAGAACAGGUAGCUCACGCUACAGAUGAAAGCAGAAAGCCGUGGUGUGAAAUGCAGACCCAAAAUAACCAGGAGGAAGAAGGGGAGCUCUGACAGUAGUUGAAAGGUGAAUGCCCUGUGAGUUAUGAAGAAACGGGAGAAAUCUUAGGAAAAGGAAAUGCAUGCUCUGUUAAUUGCAAUUUGAGCAAGUGAUUGAGGAGGCAAGCCACUGAAAUAAAGUGUUACGCAUUUAGAGGGGUGCCAGUGGACCUGUCACAUUCCCACUUCAUGCACAGGUGGGAACUGUAAGCAUCCAUAUUAAAUGACCUAAAAACCAAGCUUGAAUUAGCAAGAGGAGGAGAGUGGAAAUCAAGGGUGCCUGUGUUCAUUUGGAAAUGUGUUUCUUUGGCCUGGGUGAUUACCCUGUCCAGCUCUUCAGCAGUCCUCUGUGAAUUAAGAUCUUAUCUUAAGAGGAAACUUGACUUCAUCUCUAAUAUUUCUAGAUACCUGAAAUCACGAAGGGCUGGUAGUGAGAAGCCUUUCUGAGGCCAUCUGUGUACCAGAUAAUAUUGUAGUAAUUUCUGGGGAGAAAAAAGUCAGGUCUUUCAAUUCUCUGCAGUGAUCCCCACUCAUAUUGUCCAGGUCAUCUUUCUGAAUAAAACCAUAUGGCCUCUCUGCAGAAGAGUCUGAGAAGCCACAAGAGAAGAGCACUGAAAAUGUGAAGGUGGCAAGGCUUGUUUUAGCGUUCCCGGCUGUUUUUGAGAUUGGUGUGUCUGUAAAAAAGAUCCUUGUCUCUAUAGCAUCUCAUGGUGGAGAGCAGGAGCUGAUAUGUACCUGUGUAUAAACCACAGACUUUAUGAUCACACAUUUGAAAUGAGGGAGAGAGAAGGAGAAGCCUCUUUCUACCAGGUGUGAGGUGAAGAUUUCUGUGCACCCAUUAGAAAAGGGUGCAGAGCCUUGUGGGCAGGUGAGUACUGAACUGCAGCAACAGCAGUGGAUCUGAUGUGAUGUCUUGAUCUCAGUAAGCCAAAUCUGAGAUGCUGAGCCAUUUUUUUUGUGACUGGAAAGCUUAUGGUGUAUGGUUACGGUUACUUCCAGCACGUCUUCCUUAUCCCAGUAAUGGUUCAAACAUCUUCUUGUUCAUGGGCCUGAGAACACUUAGUCUUGUAACAUGACAGGAAAAGGUGAAGAGGUAGGACCAACCUCAUGCUUGAAGUUGCUGAAUAACAACUGUGUGAAGAGGAUUUGUUGUGGAGUGACUAAGCAGUUUGCAAUGCAGCCCAUAGGAACUAUUGUUGAAUUUGAACACCUCAGCAUUUGAUUAUUUCAGGCUUCUGAGAACUGGUAAAGGUGAAAUAAGACAUCUGUUGUCCAUUAGGUAGAAGCAGGAAUUUCUGAUUCAUUUUGCAAUUAGUUCUUUUUGCAUUCUGGAAGUAAAAUAAUUAUUUAUUAUUCUACUUGGCACGCUUUGAUGCAUGAAAACAUUCAGAGUGAUGGAGACAAACAUGGACAGUCAAUUAUAAAUGCUGCAAAAUCGUGGAGAAAAUAAGGCACUGUUUUUC
rnacentral:lncRNA from 7 species